UCCAAUUUCCAAACAAGUCACCAAACACAAACACUAAACACUAAACAGACGUGUUUUCGAGAACCCCUGCCCUUCGGCUUCUUCUCCUGCGCUUCUCGUGGAUUCCGCUGCCGCCAUCCGAUCGACGCGCCUCCACCUCGCUGUCGCCUUCCCCACCCCUCGUCUCAACGCCGGAACCCUAGCCGCCGCCUAGUCCUAUUGUUUUAGUGGGAAAACGCUGGAGCUGUGUGGCUUUCGGUUUUUCCUCAGAGUCGGGAGAAAAUCUGCCGCGAUUUCUCGCCCGCGCGGCUUGACGAUCCAGGGUCUUUAAAUUCGUCGGCAGGCGUCGGUCAAAUCGGGAAGCUCGCGACAGAGACGGGUGGAGUUUAGAUGCCCAGGAAAAAGAAGCAAGAAAGGAAAGCUCUGUUCACGAACCCGAAGAAACAGAGGGUUGGACUCGGAGCUCUUCUCGUUCUUGCAAUCAACAAGCAUGCCUAAGCUUGUAAGAGAAGUAGAAGCCAAAGAGAAAGAAGCAGAACAGCGACAGCGACUUGAGAUGCAAUCACUGGUGAAGUAAACCGCGACAAUGAUGAAUGAUGAGUAGAGAAUCGAACGUUUCCAUGAAAGGAGAAUUGUUCCAUAUGUAUGUUUCUCAUUUUCUUGUCUGCAACUCCAGGAUAUUUCAA